ACUAGGAAAUGGACUAGAAUACGACCUGCUGGGGAACCCCCGUCUCCUAGGGCUGCGCACGCGGCAGCUGCUGUUGGUACUAUGGUUGCCUUUCAGGGCGGGAUAGGUCCUGCUGGGCAUUCAACUGAUGAUCUCUUUGUGCUUGACUUGACCAAUGACAAAUUCAAGUGGCACCGAGUGGUUGUACAAGGACAGGGCCCUGGGCCUCGCUAUGGGCAUGUAAUGGACCUGGUUGCCCAACGAUUCCUUGUUACUGUCAGUGGCAAUGAUGGGAAAAGAGUUCUAUCUGAUGCGUGGGCUUUGGAUACUGCCCAAAAGCCAUAUAUAUGGCAGCAACUAAAUCCUGAAGGUGAUAGGCCUUCUGCUAGAAUGUAUGCAACAGCUAAUGCCCGUUCAGAUGGCAUGUUUUUGCUAUGUGGUGGAAGAGAUUCUUCUGGCAUGGCACUUGGAGAUGCUUAUGGGCUUUUAAUGCAUAGAAAUGGUCAGUGGGAGUGGACUCUUGCACCCGGGGUAUCUCCUUCACCAAGGUACCAGCAUGCUGCGGUUUUUGUUGGUGCUCGAUUACAUGUUACAGGAGGUGCCCUGAGAGGGGGACGUUCAGUAGAAAGUGAUGCGGCUGUUGCAGUAUUGGACACUGCUGCUGGUGUUUGGUUGGA
rnacentral:misc_RNA from 1 species